AUUGAACGCUGGCGGCGUGCUUAACACAUGCAAGUCGAUCGGUAACGCGGGGGCAACCCUGGCGACGAGAGGCGGACGGGUGAGGAACGCUUGGGAAUCUGCCCUUCAGCGGGGGACAACACGGGGAAACUCGUGCUAAUACCGCAUACGCUCCACGGAGGAAAGCCGGGGACCGCAAGGCCUGGCACUGAAGGAUGAGCCCAAGUCGGAUUAGCUCGUUGGCGGGGUAACGGCCCACCAAGGCGACGAUCCGUAGCUGGUCUGAGAGGACGAUCAGCCAGACUGGGACGGAGACACGGCCCAGACUCCUACGGGAGGCAGCAGUGGGGAAUAUUGGACAAUGGGGGAAACCCUGAUCCAGCGACGCCGCGUGGGUGAAGAAGGCCUGCGGGUUGUAAAGCCCUUCCGGUAGGGACGAAAGCUCUCGACCUAACACGUCGGGAGGUUGACUUAACCUACAAAAGAAGCACCGGCUAACUCUGUGCCAGCAGCCGCCGUAA
rnacentral:rRNA from 1 species